rnacentral:rRNA from 1 species
UACGGGGGGAGCAAGCGUUGUUCGGAUUUACUGGGCGUAAAGGGCGCGUAGGCGGCCAGCGCAAGUCAGUUGUGAAGUCUCCGGGCUUAACUCGGAAAGGUCAACUGAUACUGCGCGGCUAGAGUGCAGAAGGGGCAACUGGAAUUCUCGGUGUAGCGGUGAAAUGCGUAGAUAUCGAGAGGAACACCUGCGGCGAAGGCGGGUUGCUGGGCUGACACUGACGCUGAUGCGCGAAAGCCAGGGGAGCGAACGGG